rnacentral:rRNA from 1 species
GAUGAACGCUGGCGGCGUGCCUAAUACAUGCAAGUAGAACGCUGAAGGAGGAGCUUGCUCUUCUGGAUGAUUUGCGCACGGGUGAGUAACGCAUAGGUAACCUGCCUGUUAGCGGGGGAUAACUAUUGGAAACGAUAGCUCAUACCGCAUGACAACAGUUAUUCCAUGAUAACUAUUUAAAAGGGGCAACUGCUCUACUACCAGAUGGACCUGCGUUGUAUUAGGUAGUUGGUGAGGUAACGGCUCAACAAGGCGACGAUACAUAGCCGACCUGAGAGGGGGGUCGGCCACACCGGGACUGAGACACGGCCCAGAAUCCUAAGGGAAGGAGCAGUAGGGAAUUUUCGGCAAUGGACGGAAGGCUGGACGAGCAAAGGCGGGUGAGGGAAGAAGGGUUUUGGAUCGGAAAGAUCUGGUGAAAGAGGAGGAAGAGAGGGAGAAGGGAAAAUGCACGUUGUGACGGUAUCUUACCAGAAAGGGACGGCUAACUACGUG